GAGCUUGCUCUUCUUGGAUGAGUUGCGAACGGGUGAGUAACGCGUAGGUAACCUGCCUUGUAGCGGGGGAUAACUAUUGGAAACGAUAGCUAAUACCGCAUAACAAUGGAUGACACAUGUCAUUUAUUUGAAAGGGGCAAUUGCUCCACUACAAGAUGGACCUGCGUUGUAUUAGCUAGUAGGUGAGGUAAUGGCUCACCUAGGCGACGAUACAUAGCCGACCUGAGAGGGUGAUCGGCCACACUGGGACUGAGACACGGCCCAGACUCCUACGGGAGGCAGCAGUAGGGAAUCUUCGGCAAUGGGGGCAACCCUGACCGAGCAACGCCGCGUGAGUGAAGAAGGUUUUCGGAUCGUAAAGCUCUGUUGUAAGUCAAGAACGGGUGUGAGAGUGGAAAGUUCACACUGUGACGGUAGCUUACCAGAAAGGGACGGCUAACUACGUGCCAGCAGCCGCGGUAAUACGUAGGUCCCGAGCGUUGUCCGGAUUUAUUGGGCGUAAAGCGAGCGCAGGCGGUUUGAUAAGUCUGAAGUUAAAGGCUGUGGCUCAACCAUAGUUCGCUUUGGAAACUGUCAAACUUGAGUGCAGAAGGGGAGAGUGGAAUUCCAUGUGUAGCGGUGAAAUGCGUAGAUAUAUGGAGGAACACCGGUGGCGAAAGCGGCUCUCUGGUCUGUAACUGACGCUGAGGCUCGAAAGCGUGGGGAGCGAACAGGAUUAGAUACCCUGGUAGUCCACGCCGUAAACGAUGAGUGCUAGGUGUUGGAUCCUUUCCGGGAUUCAGUGCCGCAGCUAACGCAUUAAGCACUCCGCCUGGGGAGUACGACCGCAAGGUUGAAACUCAAAGGAAUUGACGGGGGCCCGCACAAGCGGUGGAGCAUGUGGUUUAAUUCGAAGCAACGCGAAGAACCUUACCAGGUCUUGACAUCCCGAUGCUAUUUCUAGAGAUAGAAAGUUACUUCGGUACAU
rnacentral:rRNA from 1 species